GGCUCACUUUCGGCGCAAAUUCAACAAAAACUAAAUUUUUAUGACAAAGUCCAUCAUAGAAAUCAAUACAAAUCAAAUAGUUAAACGAAGCAAGCUCAUAAUUUGAACACAAAUUAAAACAAAUCGAACUAGGCGUUGCCCUUGAGCCUCCAUAGGUGCUUCACCAGAUCAUCCUGCAGUUCUUGAUGCACCUGUGGGUCUCGGAUCUCCUGACGCAUAUUGAGGAAGGCAACCCAUGUUGCCGGUACCUGGUGAUCAACAACUGCAAGAGGACCCUGCCUGAAAUAUGGUUCAGUGUCAAACACCGGCUCUUCCUGCUCGCUCUCAAUGAUCAUGUUGUGCAAGAUGACACAAUAAUUCAUCACCUCCCACAUCUGAGAUUUCGACCAGGUCAGAGCGGGGUACCGGACAACAGCAAAUCGAGAUUGGAGCACACCAAAUGCUCGCUCGACAUCCUUCCUGCAAGCCUCCUCACACUUAGCAAAGUGUGACUUCUUGUCUCCUGGCACAGGGUUUAUGAUAGUCUACAAAAAUGUGGACCAUCUCGGAUAGAUACCAUCUGCUAGAUAGUAUCUCUUGUUUUAGUGGCGCCCAUUGACCUUGAAGUUUACCGGAGGAGCAUGACCUUCGACAAGCUUUGCAAAGACAUUCGAGCACUGCAAUACGUUGAUGUCAUUGUGAGUUCCUGGCAUACCAAAGGAGUGCCAAAUCCAUAGGUCCUGUGUAGCCACUGCCUCAAGUACCACAUUACAACAUCCUUUGGCGCCUUUGGACAUCCCCUGCCAAGCAAAUGGACGGUUUUUCAGGCCCAAUGCAUGCAGUCGAUGCUUCCAAGCAUCCCAGGAAAUCCUCUUGCUGCAUUCUGUGCUAGGAUCCGAGCAGUGUCUUCAGCAUUGGGUGAUCGCAAAUGUUAUGGUCCAAACACUGCCAACACUGCCCUGCAGAACUCGUACAAACAACUCAAUGGUGGUGGUCUGGGCCAUGCAUCCAUAGUCUUCCUGUAUAUCACCGGGAGCUCCGUACGCAAGCAUCCUCAUAGUUGUGGUGCACUUCUGGAGUGAGGAGAAUCCAACCGUACCGGUACAAUCCUUCUUGCAAAUGAAAUAGCCGUCGAACUCCCGGACGGCAUUCACAAUCCUGAGGAAGAGGUUCCGGCCCAUCCGAUAACGACGCUAAAAUCAUCCUCGCCGUGCAGAGGAGCGUCGACGAAGUAGUCGGUGUAGAGCAUGCAAUAGCCCUCCAUUCGAUGUCUUUGUUUCUUGCGGUGGCCCGGCGUCGAGCCACGUCGCCGCGGCUUGGCGUCGUUCGUGCACAGGAUCAUGAGGUACUCUUCGUCGGUGGUGUCGUCCUUGGCUUCCUCCUCCAUCAGAGCCGCGAACGUGUCCUCGCCGUCUGAGUCCAUGGCCGAGCAGGCAAAUCGCUGAACACCUGGUGGGCGUGGUGGCUGGGCAGCCACCGGUAUCCCCGCCUGCGCGGUCUGAAAAGCGCCUAGGAGAGCGGGAUGGAGGUUGCUGUGAAACCAGAUGGGAAAUGACCUUUUCUAGCGGCGGGGCAGCGGCUGUGGGCAGGUGGGCGGCGCCAGGAUCGGCAUGGCGGAGAGGCGUCCUCUGGCGCGCGAAAGGCGUUUCUCGCCUGAGUGGUGUCCCACACGCCACUUUUCCUUCUGCCGGAGCCCCCAACUGCCCCCCAGCGGGCUGGGUUCGGCCUGUGAUCGCCGGCCCAAAAGAUGGGCCCAACCUGCGAAAAACGACGUCCUGGUGGUGCGACUGGGUGGAUUUUUUAGCGCCGGCGACUAAAAAGGGGCCUGGUGGGGGCGCGGCUGGAGAUGCCCUAAGCCCCUAAAUACCCUAAAGUCAGAAAUAAAGGGCCCCCCUUGGAUGCUAUAAGGGCAUUGUUUUGUACUCCCUCUGUAAACUAAUAUAAGAUCUUUAGAUCACUUAUAUUACUUUACCGAGGGAGUAAUAGAUUUUGUCCAUAGAAUGCCCCCAUUAGCCACCACCACUUUAGUUCUCUUAGUAGGAGUUAGAGGUCAGAGAGCUUUAGUUGCCAUGCUUGGUGUAAUGAAGGUGGCAAUGCUACCUCUAUCAAUGAGUGUUGGGAAAUUGUAUUUAGCAGUGCUAAUGCCCGCCAUAUCUGCUAUAGUGGAUUUGCAACUUCCUUAGUUUCUUUAGUACCGUUCUCGUCUGAGUAUUCAGUAAAUAUACUAAUUCAGCAUUGUUUCUUGCAAAGCUCGAGUUUGAGCUUGAUUAGCAAGUUUAUAAACUUUCUGUUGGCCAGCGAACCAUGGUUCUUUGCAUUUAUCCUUGCUUGUUGAGUGACCGCUACAGAUGAAAACGGAGUGGAAAUGGACGGAACUGGGUUCUAUCACAUUUGUUUUCAUAUUUUUUACAGAAGCGAAAACGAAUACAGAAACCCCGGAAAUGAAUACGAAAACAGAUACUACCGGAAACAGACACAGAGCAAAUACAGAGGGGAGAGGGGACACAGAAACAGAAGUGGGCAUUGACCGGAAAUUUAAAACCACUAACACAAAAACCAAAAAUAUAUUUGAAAUAUUACCAUGGCUACAAAAUAAUAUGAUUAUGUUAGCAACUUGGCAUAGUAUUGUAGUAGUAGUGGACAGUUGUGUAUAGGGUCUAGUUGAGUACGUAAGUUGGGCCUCAAAUGAUCCAUUAUGCUCAUUGUGUCAUUGUGUGUUGUUUGCUAGUUGGGCUACAAAGUAGCCAUAGGCCUAUACUAAAAACAGAUUUUCCGUAUUCACGGAAAACAGAAAGUUCCGCUUCCUUGUCUGUUCCACCGGAAAACACUGUUUUUGUUUCCGUUUCCACAUAAAAAAAUUCUUUUCCAUUUCCGUUUUCAUAUUUCCUCUCCUGGAAAGUUUCCACUUUAUUUUCAUCCCUAAUGACAACUGUUGUCUUAGAAUGGCAGGUUUCUGUUUUCACAGAAAGAGGUAAUUGCUGAACAUAUCGUCUCUUUGGUUGUUGGGCAUGUUCCAUUCUUCUAGCAAGCCAAAUUGCUCUUUGCAAGUCUGCAAGCUGGUGACUCUGCACAUAUGAUGUAUGCUAUCAUUCAGUUCGGAGACAAAACUGUUCGAGUAGUAAUCAUGACGCAAAGUUGGAUCCUUCUAUUAGAUUCAUCAAGUGCUCAAAUUUGAGAAUAUACUACUACUAGACACUAGAAGUGUGUGAAUAAGUGAGUGAAAAGCUCUCACAUUGGUGAUUGUCACAUAUAGAAGUUUCAGAGAUAUGUCACCUAUAUAUGUCUGCAAAAUCUGUACAAGGUGGAAAUGAGGGGAAUCUCAAAUAGCAGAAA